UACAGGGGUGGCAAGCGUUGUUCGGAAUUACUGGGCGUAAAGGGCGCGUAGGCGGCCCGCUAAGUCGAACGUGAAAUCCCCCGAGCUCAACUCGGGAACUGCGUCCGAUACUGGCGGGCUUGAAUCCGGGAGAGGGAUGCGGAAUUCCAGGUGUAGCGGUGAAAUUCGUAGAUAUGGGGAGGAACACCGGUGGCGAAGGCGGCCACCUGGACGGUCACUGACGCUGAGACGCGAAAGCGUGGGGAGCAAACAGG
rnacentral:rRNA from 1 species